rnacentral:rRNA from 1 species
CAGCAGCCGCGGUAAUUCCAGCUCCAAUAGCGUAUAUUAAAGUUGUUGCAGUUAAAAAGCUCGUAGUUGAAUUUCGGGAUCAGUAUGUUGGUCGUGCUUCGGUACGUACUGUCAUUACUGGCUUCUCCCUUCUGAAGAACCUUGAUGUCAUUAAUUUGGUGUCUUGGGGAAUCAGGACUGUUACUUUGAAAAAAUUAGAGUGUUUAAAGCAGGCAUACGCUUGAAUACAUUAGCAUGGAAUAAUGAAAUAGGACGUUUGAUUCUAUUUUGUUGGUUUCUAGGAUCGAUGUAAUGAUUAAUAGGGAUAGUUGGGGGCAUUAGUAUUCAAUUGUCAGAGGUGAAAUUCUUGGAUUUAUUGAAGACUAACUACUGCGAAAGCAUUUGCCAAGGAUGUUUUCAUUAAUCAAGAACGAAAGUUAGGGGAUCGAAGACGAUCAGAUACCGUCGUAGUCUUAACCAUAAACUAUGCCGACUAGGGAUCGGAUGAUGUUAUUUUUAAUGACUCAG